CCUGACUACUGCUUCCUGGUCUGGGGAAUAGAGUUGGAGGGGCCACCCUUAGUCACCUGAAUUUGACCCUCUCCACAGCAACAACAGAAGAAACAAAUGGAACGUCAGCUGGAAGAAGUAAUGUGAUUUCUUUGUUUGCUCACAACAUGACUGCUGGGUUUGGGGGACAGUCAGAUGUAGAGUGGCCAGUCUCAUCUCACCCACUUCCAGCCUGGGGAAGAAGGCUCACCCCUCAGAUUCCAUCCCAUCUCCAUAGGGUCCCUGAUAACUUAGUCCCAUGAGUGGACCUGUCCUGGGGCAUUGGUGGCAUUCUGGGGGUAUGUCUCUUGCUGCGCUCUCUCUACCUCCCCAUGGUAAGAGCUCUGUCUUCCUCUUCCUACAGGAAAAGAAAGCAAACAAGGAAAUACACAGAGCACAAACGGAGCAGUUAGAGACAAUCAACAUCCUCACAUUGGAAAAGGCAGACUUGAAGACCACCCUUUACCAUACUAAACGUGCCGCCAGACACUUCGAAGGAGAGUCCAAGGAUCUGGCUAGCCACCUGCAAUCCUCCUUACAGCGUAUUCAAGAAUUGGAGCAGGCUCUCUCUGCUGUGUCUACACAGCAGCAGGAAGAGGACAGGGUGAGUCCAACCAGCUGCCCCAUCCCUUUGCAACCUGGCUUGACAGAUAGAGGAGUGAGCCUAAAGGUCUCUGCUGCAGGAUGCAGUGUCCUGCCCAGAAGGCAGCAGGAUCAUUUCAAGCUGCUUUUGUGUAUGGUUGUUAGAGGCAGCCUGGGGCUAAGUCAGCUACUGUGGGUAAGUUGGGGGCGCUGUGGGGAGUGAGCACUGGAUACAGAGCUCAGAGGCCAAGUGCCUGCCCUGCCCUUACCUGGCUGUGGCCUUGGCCAAAUCCUAGGUGGGGUAUUGGGUACUUGUACUGUGAAGGUACAGAAGAGUACCUUUAGUACGUUACCAUUUCUGUAGAGAGAGGAAAGGUGUGUGUGUGUGUGUGUGUGUGUGUACUAUGAUAAUGUACAUAAAACAUGUCUGCAAGUGUUUGUAAAAAAACUCAGGAGAGAGUAACAGGGUGCUCGGGAGACACUUCCCUUCUGUACCUUCUGAGUUUUGGACUAUGCGAAUGUAUCAUCCUUUCAAAAAGCA
rnacentral:lncRNA from 1 species